AACGAACGCUGGCGGCAGGCUUAACACAUGCAAGUCGAGCGCCCCGCGAGGGGAGCGGCAGACGGGUGAGUAACGCGUGGGAAUCUACCCAUCCCUACGGAAUAGCUCCGGGAAACUGGAAUUAAUACCGUAUACGCCCUACGGGGGAAAGAUUUAUCGGGGAUGGAUGAGCCCGCGUUGGAUUAGCUAGUUGGUGGGGUAAAGGCCUACCAAGGCGACGAUCCAUAGCUGGUCUGAGAGGAUGAUCAGCCACAUUGGGACUGAGACACGGCCCAAACUCCUACGGGAGGCAGCAGUGGGGAAUAUUGGACAAUGGGGGCAACCCUGAUCCAGCCAUGCCGCGUGAGUGACGAAGGCCUUAGGGUUGUAAAGCUCUUUCACCGGGGAAGAUAAUGACGGUACCCGGAGAAGAAGCCCCGGCUAACUUCGUGCCAGCCGCCGCAGUAAGAC
rnacentral:rRNA from 1 species